rnacentral:lncRNA from 13 species
GUGACCUGAAAAGCAACUCAUAAUAGAAAUGGAAAGAAGUAUGAAAUAGGUGUAAAGAAACCGUUCGUGUACCUGAUGGUUUUCCAAAUACUGAUUUUUAUAUCAUGGAGAAGCUCUAGAUUGUGUUUUCCAAAGAUGGCUAAACCAGUAUCAUCUCCCAUUCCCUAUGCUCUUCUAAGACUUUGCCAUUCAUUUUCCCAUUAAGAUAUAGAGUCCAGUUCACCUCCUUUUGAGUCUGGUUGGGCUUGUGACUCACUUGUAACCAAGAGAAUGCAGCAGAAUUAAUGCCGUGUGACUUCUAAAGCUAGGUCACAAAAGGCAAGUCAGCUUCUGCCUUCUCAGCUGAGGCAUUUACCUUUGGAGUUCUGCACCACUCUAUGAAGAGUCUGACCAUCUUAGACCACCUUGUUGUGAGGAGGCCCAAGGCACAUGAAGAGGUCUGUAGAUAUUCCAGUGACAGCCCCAAAUGAGGGUCUGCUGACAACCAGCAUCAACCACAACACACACAGAGAUAACAACAUCUCCAGGACUCUAGUUCCCAAAUGCCUUGCGUAUCCCCAGGCUCUGAAUCCCCCAGCAGAGGGCCAGACAUUGUGGCGCACAGGCAAACCAUGCCAUCCCUGUCAUGUCCUGUCUGAAUUCCUCAACCACAGUAUUCAGGAGCAUAUAAAAUGGUCAUUCUAUGCCACUACGUUUUGGAGUUGGUUUCCCAGCAACACAAAAUGGAACAGAGGCUUAAGUUCACUCUUACCCUAAAAUUCCAGGAGAUCCUACUGUAUUCUAUUUUAGUCUUCUCUAGAUGUUGAAGAUUUCUACCAUGUUGUGAGGAUUUCUAGCACGUGCUGUCAAAUCACUGAAACUAAUAUGAAAACUGGUGUUCAAAAUGGGGUUGCAGAGAAAACGUGGAUUGGGACCAGCAAGAAGUUAUCGUCCUGGAAUAGAGAGCCACAAUGCACAUUUGACAACAGCAAGAAAACUUCCCAGAUGCUCUGGAAGAACAGUGGCCAAGCAAAAUUCUCCCGGAGGGCAGAGUCUGCGACAGCAUUUCUGGCUGGCCAGGAGUCCACGCCUUCCGCGUGUCGGGAUCUCCACUGGGCGUCUGGAGCUCUUCGCUGGAGAGUCGGCCUCUGCCCUAGUGCCGAGUGAGCUGGAGAAAACAGGAGUGGGAGCACAGGCUGAGGACACACAGGUCACGGCUGUCGCACUGAAGGCAUGGAGCUGACGGGAGCUCCAGGGGCACAGGACGGCGUCCGGAUAGGCGAGGGCCUUUGGGUGGCAGGAGAUGGGAGGGCAUUCAAGAAGGAACAGCUUCUGCGGAGCUGCAAGGUGAGAGAGUGAAGGUGGUGGGCCUGUGCUCUUCUCUGCGAAGCCAGCCUUGGGCGUCCUUGCGUUGCUGGGGCCUUGGGGCAGGUUUUUGAGCCUCUGUUGGCUAAUGCGCGCCCUCUAGUGGCAUUUUAUGGCAGCCAAUUCAGUCCUUACCUUUGGGAAAGUUGUACAUCCCAUUACAAUAUGAAAGCUAUGCGUUUCUUUCCCCAAAUCCACACUUCUGAAAAUGCACGCACAGUUUUGCUGAAAAUCUGUAAAUAAGAAGAUCAAUGAAAGGACAACCCCACCGACGAGACCUUGAAAGAAAAAAAAAAACACACAUGACUACAGACCCUUCCCGGGUCCCCAUGGGGGCAAGGCAGGUAAUCUACCCAUUGGCCAAGAGAAUAUUUUUUAAUGGCACUUAAUUUGCAGAUACAUAAAAGUGUCCUGUUAAAAUAAAGCCAAUUUUAAAAGGGGCUCA